rnacentral:lncRNA from 1 species
UCCCUUCCAGCUCUACUACUCUCGCCAGUUGGAGUAAUCUGAACCUACUUAGGCCCCCAGGACCUUUCACCAGCCAAGUACAACCUCCUUGUCCCACUCACCAGAGUGCCACAUGCCUGAGCACAGAGAACCCUCAGGACUGCGGGAAUGAGACGCCUCGUGCAAAAGAAGAGCGAGACCCACCAGGAUGCAGAGAGGGUUCUUCAACCCCUGGCCCGGCCAGGAUGCCUGUUUCCCCUGUGGCUCAGAGGCCACCCAGCCAGAGAAGGGCAAGGACACGUGUGUCUGCCGGGGGCCUGGGCGAGUGUUCCAAGUAUGUCCUCUGGCAGGGGGGCCCAAGGACAGGCUGCGUUUCCAGGACUGUUUUGGUCUCAAGUCAAACUCGGCUCAGGUGUAACUUGACCAGGGUUGGCUCAGGUUUCCAAGUGACUUGGGGAUAGGGUUGCCAGAUAAAAUACAGGGUACCCAGUUAAACUUGAAUUUCAGAUAAAUAACAAACUUUUUUUUAGUCUUGCAUGGGACAUAGUUAUACCCAAAAAAAAAAUUGUCUAAAAUUCAAAUUUAACUGGGUGACCUGUGUUUUCAUUUGCUAAAUCUGGCUCGCCUUCUCCAAGAAAAUGACAGACUUUAUGUUGCUUUUUGCCACGAUCACUUCCAAAACACAUCCUAGCCCAAGCCCUUCCAACUUGAACGUUCUCUGCAAGCCAACAAAUGUGCAUGUGAAUUCUUCCUUUGCUGAAUGUCUCAAGUCUCUUUUUUUAUUGAAAUGAUAGCACCAGCCAGACCCUUACCAGAACAGGCUGGUCUCCCCCUGACUCCUCCCCUGCCCUGUUUAUUGCUCAUUUCCCCGCCCCUGCCCUUGUCUUCUGGCCCAUUUCCAAAAGGGUCACAGCCAAAAACCUGGGCAUGGUUCACCACAACGAAGUAUUAACCAACCAACAUGAACCAGCACUCCUCCCUCCCCCUCCCCGCCCCCAGCCCA